rnacentral:rRNA from 1 species
AUUGAACGCUGGCGGCAGGCUUAACACAUGCAAGUCGAGCGGAGGUGAGGUGCUUGCACCUUAUCUUAGCGGCGGACGGGUGAGUAAUGCUUAGGAAUCUGCCUAUUAGUGGGGGACAACAUUCCGAAAGGAAUGCUAAUACCGCAUACGUCCUACGGGAGAAAGCAGGGGAUCUUCGGACCUUGCGCUAAUAGAUGAGACUAAGUCGGAUUAGCUAGUUGGUGGGGUAAAGGCCUACCAAGGCGACGAUCUGUAGCGGGUCUGAGAGGAUGAUCCGCCACACUGGGACUGAGACACGGCCCAGACUCCUACGGGAGGCAGCAGUGGGGAAUAUUGGACAAUGGGGGGAACCCUGAUCCAGCCAUGCCGCGUGUGUGAAGAAGGCCUUAUGGUUGUAAAGCACUUUAAGCGAGGAGGAGGCUACUGAGACUAAUACUCUUGGAUAGUGGACGUUACUCGCAGAAUAAGCACCGGCUAACUCUGUGCCAGCAGCCGCCGCCG